AGGGAGGCAGCAGUCAGUAGAUAUUCGUCAAAAUGAGAAAAAUAUGUCCGAGCAACGCCGCGUGAGAGAAGAAGGGUUUCGGAUCGUAAAACUCUGUUGUGAGAGAGGAGCAAAAACGAUAGUAAAAGAGACGUCCCCUGACGGUAUCUAACCAGAAAGGCACGGUUAAUUUCGUUCCAGCAACCACGGUAAUAAGUAGGUGGCAAGCGUUGUCCGGAUUUAUUGGGCGGAAAGCGAACGCAGGCGGUUUUUAAAAUUGAUAGAAAAAGCCCGGCUCAACCGGGGGGGGUCAUUGGAAAAUGGGAGACUUGAGACAGAAGAGGAGAGUGGAAUUCCAUGUGUAGCGGUGAAAUGCGUAAAUAUAUGGAGGAACACCAGUGACGAAGGCGGCUCUCUGGUCUGUAUAUGACGCGGAGGGUAGAAAGCGUGGGGAGCAAACAGAAGUAGAUACCCUGGUAGUCCACCCCGUAAACGAGAAGAGUUAUGAGUUGGAGGGUUCCCCCCUUCAGUGUGCAGCAAACACAUAAGCACACCGCCUGGGGGGAAAAAAUAGACG
rnacentral:rRNA from 1 species